AGUCCUCUGAUCUUGCAGUGGGUACUCCUCCUCAGUAUAGAAGGCAAAGAUGUGCUUCCCUGUAAAGCCCAAACAAAGCAGAAGGAAGGCAGAAUGAGCCAGACACUGACGAAUGGGGCGCCUGCAAGCAUGCUGAUGUGUGUGUGUCUGUAUGCGCACACCCCUGUGCAUGUAUAUGUGAGAGGGAGACAAGAGAGACAUUUGCAGCAAAGUCAAGGGAGGCCUUGGUCAGUAGCAUGCGCAUGGCUGAUGUCCUGACAACCAAAACAAAGCCGUUUGUGUGAAGUGGAGGUCAGCAAAAGAAGAGAUGAUGCGCCCUCAGUCACCAUUUCCUUCCUUCGCACAUACACAGAUUGUAUUUUUAGAGCUACAGCAGAUUCUUUUUCAUGUUUGGUUUGUUUGAUCUAUAUAUAAACCCCAUGUCACUCUUUUGCAGAGGAAGAAGGAGGCAGGUAGAGGAGGGGAGGAGGUGCCUCUCUCGAUAGAGGGAACAAAGGGGAGCAAGAUGUGAAAGAAAAACAAAAACAACUGAAAAAGAGGGAGACACAGAGGGAAAAAUCACGGGCUGGACAAAGACGAUGUCCACCCCCACACUAGCGGCCCUUGCUGCCAAUUCGCUGAAGGAGAGAACAGCUGCUGGGCUACUGGGUGAGCUGUGAGAUGGUCAAGGGGAGUGCUGCUCCACCAAUCCCCAGGGGGAGAGGCUUCAAUGGGACCCAUGCCAUUUUCAUUCACUCUCCCCUCCCUCCUCCCCUCCUGCUCUAGUAAUGACAUUACUGCUGAACACUGAGGAACAGCUGGAUUGACCGCACAAAUGCAUGAGCAUAAAUCCCUAAUACACUGCAUGUAUUGUUGAGCGUUUACAGGUUUUAGAGUCAAAGAUGUUUGUAGUUAAAGCGUUGUGUUGUCAUUGCUAGCGUGUGAAGGAUGGUGGUUUUGGUGACAGAAUGUCCUCUUGUAAAUUAUGGUGAAAACACGAUUGUAUCAACAGCCUUCUGAAGAUGAACAGUAAAUUAAAAUGAUCACAUUUUAUACA